CCUACGGGAUGCAGCAGUGAGGAAUAUUGGUCAAUGGACGCAAGUCUGAACCAGCCAUGCCGCGUGCAGGAAGACGGCUCUAUGAGUUGUAAACUGCUUUUGUACGAGGGUAAACGCAGAUACGCGUAUCUGUCUGAGAGUAUCGUACGAAUAAGGAUCGGCUAACUCCGUGCCAGCAGCCGCGGUAAUACGGAGGAUUCAAGCGUUAUCCGGAUUUAUUGGGUUUAAAGGGUGCGUAGGCGGUCGGAUAAGUUAGAGGUGAAAUCCCGAGGCUCAACUUCGGAAUUGCCUCUGAUACUGUUAGGCUAGAGAGGAGUUGCGGUAGGCGGAAUGUAUGGUGUAGCGGUGAAAUGCUUAGAGAUCAUACAGAACACCGAUUGCGAAGGCAGCUUACCAAGCUACUGCUGACGUUGAGGCACGAAAGCGUGGGGAGCAAACAGGAUUAGAUACCCCUGUAGUC
rnacentral:rRNA from 1 species